CGUAGGUGGCAAGCGUUGUCCGGAUUUAUUGGGUUUAAAGGGUGCGUAGGCGGCCCUGUAAGUCAGUGGUGAAAUGCUCUAGCUUAACUAGAGAGGUGCCAAUGAUACUGCAGGGCUUGAGUACAGAUGAGGUAGGCGGAAUUGACGGUGUAGCGGUGAAAUGCAUAGAUAUCGUCAAGAACACCUAUAGCGAAGGCAGCUUACUGGGCUGUAACUGACGCUGAGGCACGAAAGUGUGGGGAUCAAACAGGAUUAGAUACCCUGGUAGUCCACACUGUAAACGUUGAUUACUCGCUGCUUGCGAUACACAGCAAGCGGCUUAGCGAAAGCGAUAAGUAAUCCACCGUGGGGAGUACGCCGGCAACGGUG
rnacentral:rRNA from 1 species